GGAUCCCACUUUGAGAAACACGGACUUAGAUUACUGAGUGCUCAAAAUCCAUAAAUAUUAAGUCUUGACUAAACAGUUGGAUUGUUUUAGAGAAAACAGUCUUAUAAAUUUGGCAGGUGGGAAAGUCUUUUGCCCAUGAAUAAUCAUGUCCACACUUCUCAUGGUAUGAAUAACCAUUUUGCUACACAUUAAUAUAUAUUAAAUUCACAGUUUCCCUUUAUCUUUCUCAAGCCCUAAUAUUUCUCCAUGUUAUUGAUGAUGAAAUAGGUUCAUCUCAUUUCAGACUCAGCAGAAGUGGGGUAGAGCUGUGUUUGAUUUCUGAAAAAUACUCAAUAUAUCACCCAUUUUAUUAUGUACAAUGCCACAAAAAUGUCUGUAACUACUUUUCAUUUCAUAUGAUUACUAAAUGUAAGCAGAAUGUACUGGGUGUUUUAUUAUAUAGGUGGUUAAGGCCUGGUAAAAACAACGUUUUGCAACACUACCUCACCUUGCACAAUUGUGCGAAAGAGAUUCAGGAAUAGAGUUCCUGAGUGUUGCCAUGAAACAGAGAUCACCUUAGGCCUCUGUUUCCUUGGCUGUAAAACAAACUCAUUGAUGACAAUCAGAAUUCUUCACCUCUGUUAGAGAAGAAAGACAGCAGAUCUGGGUCCAUGCCCCAGAGGUGUGACCUGGCCAACCCACUUUGAAUUUAUGGUGGAGUGGAUUUAGAACACCAGGGGUGGCUGGGAAGGACAGGGCACAACAGACUAGUAUUCCCACCACCUCUUCUCUUCAGGAUCUUACGGACAUUGGAGGGCCCUAGACCUGUUCUGACUAUGGGUCCCCCGUCAGAAAGCAUGAGAGAGAUGUUGGUAUUUUAUGGAAAGCCCAUGGGAUUUUGAAAGGCCAUUCAUGUUUCCCAGCAGAACUAGGGCGUCCAAUUGAGUUCAGACUUGCUCCAUGCAACCAUUGUCAGGUCACAUGACAUCUUUAGGUCUCAGCUUUUCAUCUGUAAAUGCAGGCCGCUGGGCUAGGGGAUGCCUAACACUUCUUCCAGAUGCACUGGCACUGAAUGCCAGGAAGUCUGGCGAUUGAGGGCUGGCACCAGGAAGAGGCCCAGAUGAUUUUAUGAAGGUAUUAAAUGCCACCUUUAGGGGGUGUGCGAGGCCUCCCCGCAGUCCUGAAAAGUUACGUAGCCAAUUCUUCAGCAUUUCCAAUGUUUCUGGGAAUCUGAGUUCUUAGGUGGAAUGGAAUUUUCUGUCUAGGGAACCAAUCUGUGGUGGAGCUAAUACAGAGAUCAGGAAAAGUGGCCACAGCAGACAUUCCACAGGGGAAAGAGCAGAAUAGCUAAACUAGUCUAGUGAGAUUGAACAAAAGGAGGGUGCCAGGUACGACCCUUAGUUCUAGGCUCACGUAGUCUUUAGUUCUAAGGCUAAUCUUAGGGAAGAGUUUUGGGGAGAUGGUGGAAUGGUGGAGAUUCAUAGCUGUCUCAAAAAUAAGUUUAUGUUUUCAUUCAGCAAACAUUUAUUGAUCUGGGAAUGUGUUGGGUGUUGGUGAAACAAAGAAGACAGACCGGGGUGGGUUCUCAGCCACACGCAAAGCCAGUCAUGGCCAAGGACGUUGCCAUAGGGUGGGAUGAGGGGCAUGGCCAGCUACUUUCAGACAGAUGAGUAUAUGUAGUCUAGGGGCCGGAGAUGCCCUCUGAAGGCAGCCGCCUAGAAGGGUAUGUAGAGGUUAGUGAAGAGAGUUGAAGGCAGCGGGGGGGGAAAGAGGAGGAGGCAUGAGUGGGGUGUCGCUGUGCUGGGAGACCUGGAGGGGAUGGAGGUGUGGCAUCUUGGGAGUUGGGGAGAAGUUGAGUCUGGCUCUUUUGUUGAGUGAGAGAUGGAGGAUUGGGUAAGAAACAAGGCUAAAGUGGUUGGGAGGGGUUGGAUCGUCUUAAGGAGAUGGAACUCCUCAUGGAAGUUCAGUCUCCAUAGAAACCCCUGAAAGGCUUUAAGGGAGGGACCUGGAGGAGCUCUUUCAGCUGAAGUGGUGAAUGGAUUGCGAGGGAACGUGACUGUAGGCUGGGACAGCUGUUAGAGGUGGUCGUAAUCUUCCAGGCGCGAGAUGAUGUGGACUGAAAUGGUGUGGAGACAGUCGGAGGGAACUGCGAGAUCAUUGGGUGUCAGACUGGGUUUGCAAACCUACGACUUCACUGAGAAGUGAGCAAAAUGAGUAACCUGUUCCCCUCAAGCAAUACAGAUAAUGUGGAGAGAUACUUGUUUCCACUGGAACUUCCUCCUCCACCGAAUCCGACUGCUGUACCUGUGUGGAUAGGUAACCUACAGACCGACUGCCCCACCUCAGGAGUCCUGUGUGCUUCACGACUAAAAUCCUCUGGCACUUUCAGCCUCAUUGAAGAGAGAUGAAAUCCAGUUGGCUGUAACCAGGGACCUGGAGUAAUGUGAUGGUGUCUAUUACCAGGGAAUGGUGGUGAAAGUCUCUGACUCCAUUUAAGAUGCACUUUCAUCUGUGAUCUGUUGAUUUCUUUUGCAGCCCAGCUGUUUCCACUCAAAAUAGUGGCAGAGCAAGUUUGCCACUCAGAUUCUUGAAUUGGGAGGAGGUGAGUGUUCUUCUCCCAGCAGGAGAACUGGUUUUGUUGCUUCUGGCCUCAGGGGUGGCCCAGAGGCACUCAGAGAACUGGAGACCAGGAGGGGUGUUGUGUCAGAGGGCCAGUGACCAGGAUUCUAACAAAGCGUUUUCCACCAGGUGCUGGACAUGCUGCUUACCGCAUUGCUGGAGUGCAAGAUUAGCUGGUCUAUGCUCAGAGUGCCUGGGGCCUGAGUUUGCUGGAGAUGUGGUCUUAGGAUUCUCCGGGGAGGUGCUCUAGCAAGUUCACAAGGACACCAAGCAAUCUCCCAGACUUAGACUGUACACUGGCUGCUCUGGUACUGUUGCUGGAGCCUUCUCCUCUCUCCUCCCCUUCCCAAUAGUUCCCACUGCAAUAGGUGUAGCAGUGAUACAGACAGGAAAUGGAGGUGCUGUUGAUGCUGCUGCUGCACCCUUAAAAUUCUAUAGAACUUACAGGGUGUACUCUGGAAAAAUGAUUGCCAUAACCUUAUUCAUUGACUUAUUGGAUGAAAUAUGUACUGAGUGUCUACUAGGUGCCAGGCACUGUAAUAGGUUCACGGAAUAAAUCUGUUAAUAAAAUAAAGAGCCCUUCUCUUGCGGAGGUUUCAUUAUAGUGAGAGCUGACAAACAAUAAAUGUAAUAUUUUGACUCUUUUGAAGGACUUCACCCCCAAAUUUAGCCCAAUCCAUUCGGGAGGACGCAUCCCUCUCUCUUGAUGCCAGGUGUGGCCAGGGAGCCAGUGCUUGUCAAGAAAUCUAACCUCCUGCUGUUGCAGGGGCGUCUGUUCUUAUGACCUGGGUAGAGAGAGAGCAGAGCCAAUGAAUACGUACAGUGAUGUAUGUAAUAUGUGAGAAGGUGAAGGAUAUGGUAAAAGGGGAAAAACAGAGCAGAUUAAGUACACGUUAGACAUAGUUCCCGUUUCCAAUCAUCUGUAAACAGGGCAUUUCAUUCAAGGCCGUUCGGAUCUGGUCCAGACACUGGUGGAUCUACGUCUGAGAACGAGGGUAGUCGCCCAGGGCUAGGACACUGCUUGGAAAGGUGGGGAGGCCUCAGCUGAAGUGACGCGUGGCUUCUGUAAGAUUAGUGUCCCUUUACGUUCACUUCUCCUGUUAAAAAUGUAGGGAGAAGCUUGUGGUUAUUCCUCUGAGGGAUUGGAAUUGUAAAUGACUGAGGGACAGAGGUGCUGGAAAUUUUUAUGCAGGUGAAAUGAUCAGGCAAAGGGCUAAGCCUGGGCUGUGGCCUCACCUGCUUCAGUCUCGCAGUUGGCUGGGUGGGUUCUGCUCUGCGUUUCCUCCUGACCUUUAGAUGCGUGGGAUUUCAGGGCUUAGUUCGUUGCCAGUGAAGCAGGAGUCUGGAUGCUUACUGAGCCUCUCCCUGUGUUUGCAAAUAAUUAUCAUCCGUUCACAGUGGGUGCUGCAAUGGUCUCACUUCCUUUAAUUAAUUUGUUCUGUAUUAAUUAUUGGGGUAUUUUGUUUUAUGAAGGUGAUGACUCACCCAGCCCGGCAGGUUCAGAACUGCCCUGUUGGCAUUUGACUGACAAGGGCUUGGUCUCCCAAUUCAGCCCAAACCAUUCAGGAGGAUGCAUCAUUCUCUCUUGACAUCAGGCGUGGCCAGGGUGCUGGUGCUUGCCAGGGAACCUGACCUUCUGGAGCAGAGAUGUUGUCAGAGCUGCUGAGUCAGGGAGGUCAGUUCUGUUCAUGACCUGUGUGGAGAGCGAACGGAGCCAGCCAAUAGAGAAAACCCUGGCGGGCUAGGGGUCGCACAGGAGAGUGGCUUCUGAGGCAACGUGUUAAGUGACCUUGAGACUGGAGGUCCUUCUGCCAGAAGUCUCUGGAACUCAGGUACCCGGAGGGUCCUGAAGUGUCCUUGGGGAAUACAGCACAGAGUUCUUUGUGGGACGCGAGGGAUAUUUCUGCUCGGCUUUUUCUUGGCGUUUUUUCCUUGAGUGCUUUCCUAAAGCUGCUUUUUAUCCUUCCAAGUCAUUCUCUCUGGUUGUCAGUGCAUAUUUCUUUCCGGGAGCUUCUGCAUUCUUGUUGCAAGUUUAUUCUCACUUUCUACUGGAAAUCCUCUGAAGCUGAAGGCUGCUGACCCAAAGACCAGUGUGCCGGGCAAUGAAACUGUGUGAGGCAUUGCUGGAUCUCCAUGCGGAAGAGAUUCCAAUAUGCGGACCUAUCACCUGCAUUAUUGCCGUCGCCCCCUCAUUGCCAUUUCCCGACCCAUGCACAACUUGGCUCCUCUCCAGUCCAUCUUCCAGGGUGAUUUUCCAGAUCUCAAUCUGACUGUGUCACUUGCCUCCUUAAAGCUCUUCAGUGGACACCUGUCACUUACAUAACACACCUGGAACCUUGACUUGGCACACAGGUUCUGCCCUAUCUUGUCCCUGUGCCUCCCUGCUCCAGGUCAGCUCCCACCACUCUCCUGCGGCUACUCAGUAACAGGGCUAUUUGGGGAAUGGUUGGAAUACAGGAUGCAUUUCAGCCUCCACACUUUUGCACAUUUUGUUAGCUCUCUGGAUUAUCAGUUUCCAAACUCACCUUCUUGAGCUCCUCAUGAACUUGCUCAAAACCUUCUGCCUCUGGGAAGCCUUCCUGUCUCAUGCCAGGCCCAAUUCCUGCAUCCUCGUCCCACGGUACCUUGCGUCCCAGAUCCAGCCCCUCGCGGUAACUGUCGUUUGCUGUCCUGCUGGCCCUCACUGUUUGAUUAUACUCUUCCUGGAGCCGGAGUCUGGACCUUAUUUAUCCUUAGAAUUCCAGGCCUCACAGAGAGAUUUGCCUGAAGUAGGAAACGAGUGGAUACCUCCUAAAAAAUAUGAACAAAUGAAGGAAUGAAUAAAGCAAGAAUCUCAGUCAAUCAUUUGUUCCAAUGGAGAUGUACGUUAUCCAAGAACAAAGUUUGUGAAUUUUUAAAAGGCUACAUCUUCUUCCAAGAAGCAUAACAUCUUUUUCUCUAAUGCAAUUGAAAUUUCAAAAUAAAUAAAAUAUUGUUAUUAAACCAAA